rnacentral:rRNA from 1 species
AACGAACGCUGGCGGCAGGCUUAACACAUGCAAGUCGAACGCCCCGCAAGGGGAGUGGCAGACGGGUGAGUAACGCGUGGGAACAUACCCUUUCCUGCGGAAUAGCUCUGGGAAACUAGAAUUAAUACCGCAUACGCCCUACGGGGGAAAGAUUUAUCGGGGAAGGAUUGGCCCGCGUUGGAUUAGCUAGUUGGUGGGGUAAAGGCCUACCAAGGCGACGAUCCAUAGCUGGUCUGAGAGGAUGAUCAGCCACGUUGGGACUGAGACACGGCCCAAACUCCUACGGGAGGCAGCAGUGGGGAAUAUUGGACAAUGGGCGCAAGCCUGAUCCAGCCAUGCCGCGUGAGUGAUGAAGGCCUUAGGGUUGUAAAGCUCUUUCACCGAUGAAGAUAAUGACGGUAGUCGGAGAAGAAGCCCCGGCUAACUUCGUGCCAGCAGCCGCCGCAGUAA